rnacentral:lncRNA from 1 species
AAUGAUUCAGUCAUUUGUCACGUGCAGCACGUGGCUUUUAAGUUCAAAAGCUAAACGACUCAACAUCUGUCGUUUUGGAGAAACAUAAGUGAAGCACGUGAGCCAGCUCGUGAAGAAGGGAAUCAAGGCUGUUAAAAGCCGUUACACACGUGUCCAGUUUCUGUGCAAUCUGGGUUUCAGCAUCAGGGGUAUAAAACUGGUCGCUGAGGGAGAAAUACGUG